AACGAACGCUGGCGGCAUGCCUAACACAUGCAAGUCGAACGAGACCUUCGGGUCUAGUGGCGCACGGGUGCGUAACGCGUGGGAACCUGCCCUUAGGUUCGGAAUAACUCCCCGAAAGGGGUGCUAAUACCGGAUAAUGUCUUCGGACCAAAGAUUUAUCGCCUUUGGAUGGGCCCGCGUUGGAUUAGCUAGUUGGUAGGGUAAAAGCCUACCAUGGCGACGAUCCAUAGCUGGUCUGAGAGGAUGAUCAGCCACACUGGGACUGAGACACGGCCCAGACUCCUACGGGAGGCAGCAGUGGGGAAUAUUGGACAAUGGGCGAAAGCCUGAUCCAGCAAUGCCGCGUGAGUGAUGAAGGCCUUAGGGUUGUAAAGCUCUUUUACCCGGGAUGAUAAUGACAGUACCGGGAGAAUAAGCUCCGGCUAACUCCGUG
rnacentral:rRNA from 1 species